GACGAACGCUGGCGGCGUGCUUAACACAUGCAAGUCGAACGGUAAGGCCCUUCGGGGUACACGAGUGGCGAACGGGUGAGUAACACGUGGGUGAUCUGCCCUGCACUUCGGGAUAAGCCUGGGAAACUGGGUCUAAUACCGGAUAGGACCACUGCCUGCAUGGGUGGUGGUGGAAAGCUUUUGCGGUGUGGGAUGGGCCCGCGGCCUAUCAGCUUGUUGGUGGGGUGAUGGCCUACCAAGGCGACGACGGGUAGCCGGCCUGAGAGGGUGACCGGACACACUGGGAAUGGGAUACGGCCCAGACUCCUACGGGAGGCAGCAGUGGGGAAUAUUGCACAAUGGGCGCAAGCCUGAUGCAGCGACGCCGCGUGAGGGAUGACGGCCUUCGGGUUGUAAACCUCUUUCAGCACCGACGAAGCGCAAGUGACGGUAGGUGCAGAAGAAGGACCGGCCAACUACGUGCCAGCCGCCGCGGUAA
rnacentral:rRNA from 1 species